rnacentral:rRNA from 1 species
GGGGGGAGCUUGCUCSACCGGAAAAAGAGKRGUGGSGAACGGGUGAGKAACACGUGGGUAACCUGCCCAUCAGAAGGGGAUAACACUUGGAAACAGGUGCUAAUACCGUAUAACAAUCGAAACCGCAUGGUUUUGAUUUGAAAGGCGCUUUCGGGUGUCGCUGAUGGAUGGACCCGCGGUGCAUUAGCUAGUUGGUGAGGUAACGGCUCACCAAGGCSACGAUGCAUAGCCGACCUGAGAGGGUGAUCGGCCACAUUGGGACUGAGACACGGCCCAAACUCCUACGGGAGGCAGCAGUAGGGAAUCUUCGGCAAUGGACGAAAGUCUGACCGAGCAACGCCGCGUGAGUGAAGAAGGUUUUCGGAUCGUAAAACUCUGUUGUUAGAGAAGAACAAGGAUGAGAGUAACUGUUCAUCCCUUGACGGUAUCUAACCAGAAAGCCACGGCUAACUACGUGCCAGCAGCCGCGGUAAUACGUAGGUGGCAAGCGUUGUCCGGAUUUAUUGGGCGUAAAGCGAGCGCAGGCGGUUUCUUAAGUCUGAUGUGAAAGCCCCCGGCUCAACCGGGGAGGGUCAUUGGAAACUGGGAGACUUGAGUGCAGAAGAGGAGAGUGGAAUUCCAUGUGUAGCGGUGAAAUGCGUAGAUAUAUGGAGGAACACCAGUGGCGAAGGCGGCUCUCUGGUCUGUAACUGACGCUGAGGCUCGAAAGCGUGGGGAGCAAACAGGAUUAGAUACCCUGGUAGUCCACGCCGUAACGAUGAGUGCUAAGUGUUGGAGGGUUUCCGCCCUUCAGUGCUGCAGCUAACGCAUUAAGCACUCGCCUGGGGAGUACKACCGCAGGUUGAACUCAAAGGAAUUGACGGKKGCCCGCACAGCGUGGAGCAUGUGGUUAAUUCGAGCACSCGAGACUACAGUCUGACAUCUUGACCMCUCUAGRAWAGACUUCCUCCGGGCAGUGACAGUGKCAUGUUGCGYAGCUCAGUCUGGAGCUUGGUAGUCGCACGAGCSUAC